rnacentral:lncRNA from 1 species
AUUGUAAUGAUUUGGUUACAUUGUAAUAAUUUGGUUACAUUGUUAAGUUUGAUUACAUUGUGAUAUACUUUUAAAUAAAAAUAAUUUGCAUUGCAUUGAGGUUUAUAUAUUGUUCAUCUAAACAUAGUCACCUCAUUAUUCAGACUUAUGACAAAUAUAAGCUGCAACAGCUGUGAAGAUUGGUUGUGUAUUUUCAUUAGAAUCAUUAUUAUUUUUAAAAUAUAAGGAGCAAUUUAUUAAUCUUAAGAUUUUAUUACGAAAUUCAAUCCAUAAUGAAAAUAAUGGUAUAUUAAUAGUUCAUAAUAUAGGGUUAUUGCAUGAAUAUUGGGGGAAAUUGUAGAAUUUUAUAUUGCACAAGCUUGCGAGUGCAAUAUAUGUUCUAUGAGGGACAAUAUUCCCCAAUAUUUAUGCAAUAACCCUUUUAUUGUAAAGCAAUAUAAUAUUUGAAAGUAAAAAUUGGAUUAAACUAAGAUUUUGUCGUUGAUGACGUCAUGAAUUUUGAAGAUUUAAUGCACUAGUGGCAAUUUGAAUUUAUUGCAGGCUAACUUUUGGUAACUUUCUGUGGGAAAUAUUAUAUUGCUAUGUAAUAAUAUGUUAUUUGGUACAGAAUUAUAGAGCCAAAUUCUGUUUUUGAAAGCAGUAUUGAAGCUUGAAGGUGUUGGUAUGUAAUUGGUAGGUCAUUUGACCAGUAUUAAAGCAUUAAGGUGUGGGUGGAAAGGUCACAUAACCAGUGUACUUAAUAUUAUCGUUUAUUUCUGAUUGAAUCUCACAAGUUGUGCAUACUCAAGAUAUAUUUUUCGGAUUUUUACAUUGAUAUUUUUGAUUCCAUGAAGCAUUAAUUUCAUUGAGGAUGAUGAAAACAGUUGUUACAUUAUCAUUUUUGUUCUCAAAUUAUCUUCACUAAACAUGCUAAAUAUGUACCAUGAAUUUUCAGCAAGUACAUCAAAACUUUUUUGUGUUAAAGUAGUGUACCUAUCCUGGACUUUCUGUAAUCUGUAUUGAGAAAUCAAUUGGAAAACACUUUUAUACAGUAUAUACAAAAUUUCUUUGGGGCAGUUAAAAAACAUCAUAUAAAGCCUAUAGAGGAAAUCACCAGGAAUUAAAAAUUUAGUUAUAAUUAAAUAAAUAUACAUUUUGCCUAGUUUUGAUUGGGGAUUUUUUUAUUCGCCAAGUUCUUUACGAAUCUGCUUCCCCAGUGUGUUUGUUUUUAUUUUGGUGCAACUGUUGCCUAGUUUGUUAUAUUUUGUUAUUUUGUGAGCAAAUGAAGAAAGUUGAGCAAUAAGUUUUGUUAUCUAGUCUUUUAAUUUCUAUACUGAUUUGUUUGUAAACUGUAUACACUAUGAUCUUCAAUAAAACAUUAAUAAGAACAGUUUAUUAAAUCAGCCACUACCAAAGAUGACAUGAGGCUUGAGGGCUUAUAUUAAAACAUUUAAGUUUAGGGUUAACUAAUUGCUAACCAACUGUAGUUGUUUGGUUUGAUAAAGACAGAUAAUUACCACAUAUUGAUUUGUACUGUUUAAUAUCAUAAUAGUUAACAUUAUUAAAGCUGUUACACAAAUUCAAAUGUAAAAUGUAAAAUAAAUAUUUUAUGUAUGGCUGUGUUCACUUGUGCCUAUAUUUUGUAAUUUCAAGAACUUUUGUUUUUGUUAUUGCCAUUGUUCUUGAUGUCUGUUUAAACAAUAAACAUCAGACUGAAUAUUUGAACAAUCAUUUGUUAUGUUAUUGAUUAGGAACAUAAUAUAUAAACAAAGGGGAAUACAAAGUGUAAACAAUGAAAUCGCAAGCCAAUGCAAA